rnacentral:lncRNA from 1 species
AUCGACUUCAAUGCCAUCCUCCCCGUGAGAUGUCCACUUUGAAUAACCAGACACAAAUCCCCGCAUGAGCAAGUGCAUCCCGACAUCCUCUGGCUCGUACAGCUUGCUGUUCCGACAUCUCACACAGGGAUAACACAUCUUAUCACCCCCUUUCCUAUGCAUAUCUUCCACGCCGGCAUCGACAAAAGUCUUCAGCCGCUCUAUCCACUCAACAUGUAACCUGUCCUCGUACAUCCAAGCACGGCCCAUCGAGCUACAACACAAUUUUAAAAAAAAACGAAUCAGCUUGAUCGACAAAAAUGGAAA